rnacentral:rRNA from 1 species
GGAAUCUUCCACAGUGGACGCAAGUCUGAUGGAGCAACGCCGCGUGAGUGAAGAAGGUCUUCGGAUCGUAAAACUCUGUUGUUAGAGAAGAACACGAGUGAGAGUAACUGUUCAUUCGAUGACGGUAUCUAACCAGCAAGUCACGGCUAACUACGUGCCAG